rnacentral:lncRNA from 1 species
GUUGGGAGUUCAGUCGGCUUAAAAGGAGAGGGAGGGGCUUUGAGGGGCUUGGGGGGGGGGCAUCCUUUCUGUUUAGAUUUCUUAAGGGCUGUGUGUGUGUGUGCGUGUGUACAUGCAUGCAAAAUAUUUCAAGUCCCUCCAGCUAGGUUCUCUCUGCCCCUCCCAUCCCACACGGCGAGACUUUUCUGCUUUUCAUUCAGCAGAGACCAAUCUGUUGCCUGCAAAUCACACCAACAUUGAAGCUUCUUUAAAAAGGAAAACGAAAAACGAAGAAGAAAAAGAAACUGUCUCAGGAAUUACCGAAACAACUUCAGGAUAAUAGAAGGAUGUAGCAGGUGUAGUUGACAUUCUGCACUUAUACUCAAGAGACAUGAAGAAAUUUGCAAUUUGCCAGUGACUGCAUAAAAGAAAAUGAAGUCCCAUUAAUAGGAUCUGUCGAAAAACAACUUGCGUCAAUCGAUCGAUGAGAUGCAAGCAACUCCUAACCUUCCCUCUUAUUUCAAGAGGAUAUUGUCUGUCUCAGAAUGUCUGUGUUUGUGUAUGUAUAUAAGAGAGCACAAGUUCUCAAGUUCUUUUGAGACAGCUUCUCCUACUACUAUCAGAAAUACAUAAAGGACUUCUGAAACUACUACUGAAUUUCUUUUCCUU